rnacentral:lncRNA from 1 species
AGUUUCAGGUGUUUUCUAUGUAGCAGGAGAUGGCCUUUCCCUGGCACUGGCUGUGACCAAUUAUUAUUUUAGAGAGACAGUUAACAACGGCCUGACCAUUACUGACCAUUACCUGAUUGUCACCUGACAUUCCUGAUGUGUGUGACAGGAGGUGGGGGGGGAGUGUGAAGUCGGAGAGAGCCCUCUUCUACCCUGCUUAUGCCUGAUGAGCUACCUACUAUAACAGAAAUCUUAGAGUGAGAGGACAUAAUUUUCUCCUUCCAAUAUCUCCUUCUGGCUGACUAAGAUAAAAUGGAUAAAUGGGUAAGAUAUUUGGAACUUGGAUCAUAAAAUGGAGUUACAUGUUGAGAAUUGCAGUGCAUUGAGAAGCAUGGUGUCCAGGUUAUCUGCCAAUAGUCAAGCCUCUAUGCAGGCUUUUAACUGUGUAUGUUUACAUAAGCAUGAGAGACAGAUAUAUUUCUAUUUUGUUUAAAACACUCUUAUUUUUGGUUUACAAAUUGUUGUAGCUGAACUUAAUACACGGGAACAUUUUCAAAAGAGGGCUGGGCACAGUGGCUCACUCCUGUAAUU